rnacentral:sRNA from 1 species
UCAUGAAGGUAACGAAGUGCAACAUGAACAUUACCCAGCCCUUCUUCCAUCAUUGCCACAUUAAUAUAAGUUGCAGCAGUAUUAGGAUGAGAGGGUCCACAUGUCAGGUGCAAAAGAUAUAGGGCACGAUUCACAUACCUGAUACACAAAACAGAGCAUAACAUAGUUGAGAUUUCCAAAGAGAGUAAAUAGAACAGACUUCAUAGCUUACUCAUAAAAACAAACUAGAUGGCACCCUAGGCAUAUAGCUUUUGUAAACGACAACAAGCACAUACUUUAAUGCCAAUUCUGUAUGCUGCAGGCGGUAAUAGAAAACUGCAAGAUCUCCAUAGCUUUUCAUUGUAUCUGGAUGAUCUAGUCCAAGUUCUCUCUCAUUUAUAUCUAAAGCCUUCUGUUGAUAGAUUGUUGCCUGGUAAAAUAGAGAGUGAACAUUUAUAAAGCCAGUCUUCACAGCACUGGAUAGUAUGUAUGUAUGUAUGUAUGUAUUUAACCCCUUGACAAGUGUAUAUUUCAGUACUUCAUGUAACAUGAAUGAGAAACAUUUUGCAUUAUAUUACACUUAAGCAGCUUACAGUCACAAUUUCCACAUGAUCAUCAUAUUAACUGUUGUUCAAAAUAAUUCUGCAUGAUUCCCAUUCAUCGUACCCAAGAUUUGUCUAGAAUCAGAAUUCAACUUUAACAAUAUUUGCACAGAAGACAAUAUUUGCAAUAUUACAUUCUACAGAGCAAUGUAUAAAAUAACUACUGGCUUAAAUCCCAAAAAGAAAAUACCUGGUUGAAGUCACCAGUAUGAUAAAGCACUACUGCCAAAAGGCUGUAUGCUCCUGCUGUCAUUCUGUGAUAAGGACCACAAACAGCAACAAGUUUUGCAAGAGCCUGCAUCACCAUGUAUAAUCAACAGGAUGUAGUGGUCAAGAAAUCAUCAUGAUGUGUCAAGACACAAGAUCAGGACUGUACCUUUGUGCCAUAGUUAACAGCAUCCUCAAGCUUUCCCUUGUCCAGGAAAGUCUUGGAUGACUCCAACAGGGUUCGACCGUCUGCUGAUGAGCAUGCAACAUGCUGGAGUAAAGACAUCAUGGUUAAACAUGUUAAUAAACAGGAAGUAUUUGCAUCUCAUUCAAUUACAGAAUCCAAAGGGUUAAACUUUACCUUGUAGAUAGGAACAAUGCUGAUUAUAUCUGACCUUCUGAAUGGAUGUGGCAUAUCCAUGUCAUAAUCUUUGGUAACUAGCUC